GCGAUUCUCGUAUGAAGAGGCUUCAGUUAUCAAAUGUUGGUGGUAAUUUUAGUUAUGCCACUGUGAAAGCGUCGAUUGUUAAGUAGACAUAAAAAGUUUGAAGUAUGCACAAAGCCUGAAAGUGUCAAAUAUGGAACCUAAAAAAACCUGCCUUUGCCACUGACUGUAUAAAGGUUUUUUAAG